AUCUUCGGCAAUGGGCGAAAGCCUGACCGAGCGACGCCGCGUGAGCGAUGAAGGCCAUUAGGUUGUAAAGCUCUGUCGAGGGGGAACAAGCCGCAAGGUUGAGUGAUCCCUGGAGGAAGCACGGGCUAAGUUCGUGCCAGCAGCCGCGGUAAGACGAACCGUGCGAACGUUGUUCGGAAUCAUUGGGCUUAAAGGGCGCGUAGGCGGGUGUUCAAGUCCGGGGUGAAAGCCUCCAGCUCAACUGGAGAAGAGCCCCGGAUACUGUUCACCUGGAGAGGGAUAGGGGCACAUGGAACUUCCGGUGGAGCGGUGAAAUGCGUAGAGAUCGGAAGGAACGCCGGUGGCGAAAGCGAUGUGCUGGAUCUUUUCUGACGCUGAGGCGCGCAAGCUAGGGGAGCAAACGGGAUUAGAUACCCCGGUAGUCCUAGCCCUAAACGAUGGGUACUGGGUUGCGGGUCAGACAUAGACUCGCAGCCGAAGCAAAAGUGUUAAGUACCCCGCCUGGGGAGUAUGGUCGCAAGGCUGAAACUCAAAGGAA
rnacentral:rRNA from 1 species